UACGGGGGGGGCAAGCGUUGUUCGGAAUUACUGGGCGUAAAGGGCGCGUAGGCGGCCUGCUAAGUCGGACGUGAAAUCCCUCGGCUCAACCCGGGGAACUGCGUCGAUACUGGUGGGCUCGAAUCCGGGGAGAGGGAUGUGGAAUUCCAGGUGUAGCGGUGAAAUGCGUAGAUAUCUGGAGGAACACCGGUGGCGAAGGCGGCAUCCUGGACCGGUAUU
rnacentral:rRNA from 1 species